GGCAUGCAGGAUCUUUUGUUGAGGCAUGCGGGAUCUAGUUCCCUGACCAGGGAUCGAACCUGGGCCCCCUGCGUUGAGAGCGCAGAGUCUUAGCCACUGGACCACCGGGGAAGUCCCUUUUUCUUCUUAAUUAGAGAGGAACGGUCUUGCUGUCUCUAAGCUGAACCUGGUCACCUUUUUUGAGCAAAGGAAAGAGCCCUGGGAUGUGAAGAAAAGGAGACAACAGUCAUACACCCAGGUUGGCAUAUCAGCGUUUCAAGGUCCUUUUGCCUGUGGGCGUGGUGGGAACAGGUGAAGGAGCUGUGCUGACGCCACAGAAGGUAUGUUCUCAAGAUGCUGACCUGAUUCCUCAACAUAAUACCGAUGAGAAAACAACCCAGAGCAGGAGGAAGAAGAGGAGAGGAUGGCAGCUCAGGUAAACGUCCUGUCCUGGGUCAGAGGCCGUGUCUGCU